rnacentral:rRNA from 1 species
UGGGGAAUUUUGGACAAUGGGCGCAAGCCUGAUCCAGCCAUGCCGCGUGAGUGAAGAAGGCCUGGUUGUAAGCUCUUUCGGCCGGGAAGGAAAUCGUGGUCUCUAACAUAGGCCAUGGAUGACGGUACC